GAUGAACGCUGGCGGCGUGCCUAAUACAUGCGAGUCGAGCGAACGGACGAGAAGCUUGCUUCUCUGAUGUUAGCGGCGGACGGGUGAGUAACACGUGGAUAACCUACCUAUAAGACUGGGAUAACUUCGGGAAACCGGAGCUAAUACCGGAUGAUAUUUUGAACCGCAUGGUUCAAAAGUGAAAGACGGUCUUGCUGUCACUUAUAGAUGGAUCCGCGCUGCAUUAGCUAGUUGGUAAGGUAACGGCUUACCAAGGCAACGAUGCAUAGCCGACCUGAGAGGGUGAUCGGCCACACUGGAACUGAGACACGGUCCAGACUCCUACGGGAGGCAGCAGUAGGGAAUCUUCCGCAAUGGGUGAAAGCCUGACGGAGCAACGCCGCGUGAGUGAUGAAGGUCUUCGGAUCGUAAAACUCUGUUAUUAGGGAAGAACAUAUGUGUAAGUAACUGUGCACAUCUUGACGGUACCUAAUCAGAAAGCCACGGCUAACUACGUG
rnacentral:rRNA from 1 species